rnacentral:snoRNA from 1 species
AUGCUUUUGUGGUCCCUAGGCAUGAUGAUUUCUUUUUUUUUUUUUUACCACUGUAAGAGACGUGUCUCCAUCAAACCUGCUAUGAGGUCAGCACAUUACCUGUUUGACA